rnacentral:rRNA from 1 species
GACGAACCGUGCAAACGUUAUUCGGAAUCACUGGGCUUAAAGCGUGCGUAGGCGGCUGAGAAAGUUGGGUGUGAAAUCCCUCGGCUCAACCGAGGAAUUGCGCUCAAAACUACUUGGCUUGAGGGAGUUGGAGGUGAGCGGAACUAAUGGUGGAGCGGUGAAAUGCGUUGAUAUCAUUAGGAACACCGGUGGCGAAAGCGGCUCACUGGGACUCUUCUGACGCUGAGGCACGAAAGCUAGGGUAGCGAACGGG